rnacentral:piRNA from 1 species
UCUGGCCAACUUUGACUAUAA